rnacentral:tRNA from 1 species
UUUUUGAUAGCUUAUACGGUUAAAGCAGUAAACUUUUAAUUUACGAGAAGGUAAAUCCUCUUUAUUUUUCGAA